rnacentral:lncRNA from 1 species
CUGAAGAAGUCAACGAUGCCUGCGCUUGUGGGAUUAGAGGACCAACUGGGUCAAUCGGAUUGACCGGUCUAUGGUCCAUCUCUGCCGGAGUAGUGGCGGCAGUAGUAGGUGUAGUCGACGGACUAGGUGUAGCCGUUGGACUAAGUGUAUAAGUCAUCGCCCUUUGGGUUCUAAUGAGGUGUGACAUCUACAAAAUUAGAAAUCAAUUUGUUUCGUACACAAAGAUUUAACUUGUCGUACACAUGCUAAUAAUUUAAACUUAAAUUUAAAACGAAAUUUAAAAACCCUAAUUCUAAACCCAAUUCAAGUUUAGCAGAAACUAAACUUAAAAUUGAUAUACUAUACACAAACUAAUCAAUUAAGAUAGGAUAUAGACCCAACAAUUAUAACUUAUAAGAAGAAACUAGCAUAAAGGACAUCCUUACAAGUUUACUACCUAAAACCAAACAAACGUGAGGUGCCUUGGAUAUCCUUACUACCUUAUGUUUAAAUAACGACCUCAUAACAAACUAAUAAUGUGAGAGAGAGCAUAUCAUUAUUUACUAGUAAAAUCCAUAUUUGCUUAUAUCAUGUGGGUUCCCAUAUCUUUGAAUAAUAAUCAUAAUGGAGUUCACAAACAGAUUUCAUUUGAUUUAAUGUGUUCCUAUUGGUUUGUUAUACCCAAUCACCAUGACAUUGCCCUAUUUGGCUGAAAACAUAUUUUACAUAUAAAUUUCCCAUUUUUUGUCCUUCUUGGUGAAUUAAGUAUAGCCAGACCCAGGAAAGAAUCCAUUCAUGACAUUCCUAAAAAUGUAACUUCAAAAUUGGGAGGCCGAAUUCAACAAGCAACGCAACCGUCUAUCAUAUUAAUAAGGCAACAACAAAGGCUAAUACCCCAUUAUAUAUCAAGAAAUCGUGGCAGUCUACAAUGCAAAUCUCUAAAAACUUAUUCCACAAAUGUACAGUGUAAUUCAAUUUUUUUCUUUCAAACCUACAAUUGAGAACACAUCCUACAAUAUCUUAAAUUCCAACAUACAAACUACAAACAUAAAUAUAUUUCAUUUAAUCGUAAUAAAAAGAUAAUUAAAAAGGUGAAUUAUACAAUAUAAAGAUAAAUAAAUAAAAGGAUUGUUGCAUAUGGAAAAGUGUAAGUGCAAUGUUGUGGAUGCAUAGAACAUAGGAAAACAUUAACAAAUCCCUAAUUUAAGAACCCUAUACUUAAAUUAAAAAAAAAAACCCUAAUUCGAACCCUGUACUUGAAACUAAAAACCCCUAAUUUAAUAACCCUAAUCUAACCCCCAGUGAAGCAUCCUAAAUCUAACCCCCAAAUUAAGAAAACCUAAUCUAACCUCACUGCCCAAAAUCAUUCUCCUAAUUUAAAACCUAAAUCUAACCCCAAUUAAGAACCCUAAAAACUCUAAUUUAAGAACCUAAAUGUAACCCGCAAUUUACGAACUCUAAAUCUAACCCGACUGCCCUAAUUCUAACCCCCAAUUUGAAAAACAAAAAAAAAAAAAACAAAAAAAACCCUAAUUCGAACCCCCAAUUUGUAAAUAAAGAAAAUUGAAAAUGAAAACUAAAGAGGAAAUUACCUCUUGGAGACGAAGUCGCAACGGCCGGAGAGACAGAUGGAGAUACAGAGGAAGGAGAAAGAGGGUAUCAAGCAGGAAAAAAGGAAGAAGAGGGAAGUGAGGGGAAGAAGGAGAGUUGGGGUUAAAAUAUAGAAUAUGCGCGACAGAGCCUUUGUCUCACAAGGCUAAAAAUCGUCGCGCAAGUUUUUUAAAAUUUCCGCUGAAAAAAAAUGCCUUAAUUGAAAUUUCAAACACUUGCGGGACAAAUACAAUAUUUUGUCGCACAAAUAUACUUUGUGCGACAAAAUAUGUGUUCAUCGCGCAAUAUUCCCCUGUAAAGUUAAAAUAACCGUUAAAUCGUGCCUUUUUGUUUCUCACCGUUGAAAAGUUUUGUCCUGUUACUUCAUCUCUGAAUGUUUAUGUAGACAUCGAAAUUUCGUAAAUAAAUGUUGACCGAUAAAUCAAAGUGUCAACGCUCAUGUA